AGUCGUAACAAGGUCUCCGUAGGUGAACCUGCGGAGGGAUCAUUACAGAGUUCGCGCCCUCUACGGGUAGAUCUCCCACCCUGUGUUAUCGCUACCGCGUUGCUUUGGCGGGCCGCGAGGCUCGACCUCCCGCCGGCCCCGGCCGGUGCGUGCCCGCCAGAGACCCCCCUAUCCUGAAUGUGCGUGUCGUCUGAGUACUAUACAAUAGUUAAAACUUUCAACAACGGAUCUCUUGGUUCUGGCAUCGAUGAAGAACGCAGCGAAAUGCGAUAAGUAAUGCGAAUUGCAGAAUUCAGUGAGUCAUCGAAUCUUUGAACGCACAUUGCGCCCCGUGGUAUUCCGCGGGGCAUGCCUGUUCGAGCGUCAUUUCAACCCUCAAGCCUCGCUUGGUGUUGGGUCCGGCCCGCCGCGGCCGGCCCUAAAGUCAGUGGCGGCGCCGUCUGGUCCUAAGCGUAGUAAUGCUCUCGCUCUAGGCCCCGGCGGCCGCACGCCAGCAACCCCAACUUCUAUGGUUGACCUCGGAUCAGGUAGGGAUACCCGCUGAACUUAAGCAUAUCAAUAAGCGGAGGAA
rnacentral:misc_RNA from 1 species